UACGUAGGGACCAAGCGUUGUUCGGAUUACUGGCGUAAGGGCUCGAUAGGCGGCCAACUAAGUCGGACGUGAAAUCCCUCAGCUUAACUGGGGAACUGCGUCUGAUACUGAUGCUUGGAUCCGGGAGAGGGAUGCGGAAUUCCAGGUGUAGCGGUGAAAAUGCGUAGAUAUCUGGAGGAACACCGGUGGCGAAGGCGGCAUCCUGGACCGGUAUUGACGCUGAGGAGCGAAAGCCAGGGAGCAAAGCGGG
rnacentral:rRNA from 1 species